GACGAACGCUGGCGGCGUGCUUAACACAUGCAAGUCGAACGGAAAGGCCCUGCUUUUGUGGGGUGCUCGAGUGGCGAACGGGUGAGUAACACGUGAGUAACCUGCCCUUGCCUUUGGGAUAACUUCAUGAAACUGGGGCUCAUACCGGAUAGGAUCUCCUGCUGCAUGGUGGGGGUUGGAAAGUUUCGGCGGUUGGGGAUGGACUCGCGGCUUAUCAGCUUGUUGGUGGGGUAGUGGCUUACCAAGGCUUUGACGGGUAGCCGGCCUGAGAGGGUGACCGGCCACAUUGGGACUGAGAUACGGCCCAGACGCCUACGGGAGGCAGAAGUGGGGAAUAUUGCACAAUGGGCGGAAGCCUGAUGCAGCAACGCCGCGUGCGGGAUGACGGCCUGCGGGUUGUAAACCGCUUUCGCCUGUGACGAAGCGUGAGUGACGGUAAUGGGUAAAGAAGCACCGGCUAACUACGUG
rnacentral:rRNA from 1 species